UGGGUAAUCUUAUGAAACUUCAUCGUGCUGGGGAUAGAGCAUUGCAAUUAUUGCUCUUCAACGAGGAAUCCCUAGUAAGCGUGAGUCAUCAGCUCACGUUGAUUACGUCCCUGCCCUUUGUACACACCGCCCGUCGCUACUACCGAUUGAAUGGCUUAGUGAGACCCUCGGAUCGACUCAUGGAAACCUUCACGGGUAUCUAUUUGUUGAAAAGUUGGUCAAACUUGGUCAUUUAGAGGAAGUAAAAGUCGUAACAAGGUAGCCGUAGGUGAACCUGCGGAAGGAUCAUU
rnacentral:rRNA from 1 species